UUGUCUCAAAGAUUAAGCCAUGCAUGUCUCAGUGCAAGCCAAACUAAGGUGAAACCGCGAAAGGCUCAUUAAAUCAGCUAUAAUUUAAUAGGUGGUACACACACACACACGGUUACUUGGAUAACUGUGGCAAUUCUAGAGCUAAUACAUGCAAAACGAGUUCCGACCGCGGGCGGAACGGACUCCGUAAAAAGAGGCCGAUUUCGUUCGCGGAACGAAUGCUUUUAUUAGAACAAAACCAAUCGGAUCUUUCGCGUUUCGGUCGUGAUCGUCGCGGGGGAACGUUCGCGCGUUUUCCCAGGCGGACGAGCGCCGAGCCGGAAGGCAAUCCGAAAAAACUCUUGACGAAUCUGAAUAACUUUAAGCUGAUCGCACGGUCUCCGAACCGGCGACGCAUCUUUCAAAUGUCUGACUUAUCAACUUUCGAUGGUACGUUACGCGCCUACCAUGGUCGUUACGGGUGACGGGGAAUCAGGGUUCGAUUCCGGAGAGGGAGCCUGAGAAACGGCUACCACAUCCAAGGAAGGCAGCAGGCGCGCAAAUUACCCACUCCCGGCACGGGGAGGUAGUGACGAAAAAUAACGAUGCAGGACUCUUAACGAGGCUCUGCAAUCGGAAUGAGCACACUCUAAAUCAUUUAACGAGUAUCCAUUGGAGGGCAAGUCUGGUCGAAAGUUGCUGCGGAUAAAAAGCUCGUAGUUUGAUUUGUGUUCCGAGCAGUCGGUACGCCGUUCGUCGGCGCCUAACUGACUCGCGGCGGAACGUCCUGCCGGUUGACGGAGCGGGGGGCGGUUCGCUUGCGAGCGAUGAAAUCGACGGAAGCGCGAGGCGAUACUCACAUAAAGUGGGGCGAAAGCGGCAAAGUCAACGCGUUCGACACGCGGACGACCGCUCACGGCGAGAUGGACGGACGAAUACGACGGCGGUCCCCGACUCGAUUCGGGUCCGCCGAACCGGUUUUCCGCUCAGUUCGGCUUCGGCCGACUCGUCGGUCGUCGCAGCGAUCGAACCUCCGUUCUUUGUCGCUCCCACUUUUUCGCCUCGGCCUUGCUCCGCCGCCUUGACAAGGACGGUGCGGUCGCUCGCGGACGCGAGAGUCUCAGGUGGCACGCUUGCAGCGGAUUUCCGUGCGCCUAAUUUGCGAUUCGUUCGACUUCGGUCGGGCGAAUUUGCGGUUACGGCGCUCGCCGUCUCUCGCGUCGCUCACCCCCGAGAUCUCUCGUCGUUUUCGACGGGACGACCGAUCCAGCCGUCCGAUACUGCGUCCGUCAGUCUUUUUUACACGAAAUCCCGUCGCGGUGCUCUUGACCGAGUGUCGCGCCGGGCCGGCACGUUUACUUUGAACAAAACUGAGUGCUUAAAGCAGGCAAGAAACAAUUCAGCCUGAAAGUUUAUUGCAUGGAAUAAUGGAAUAGGGCCACGGUUCUAUUUUGUUGGUUUUCGGAAUUUCCGAGGCAAUGAUUAAUAGGGACAGGCGGGGGCAUUAGUAUUGCGGCGUUAGAGGUGAAAUUCUUGGAUCGUCGCAAGACUAACCUAAGCGAAAGCAUUUGCCAAGGAUGUUUUCUUUAAUCAAGAACGAAAGUUGGAGGUUCGAAGGCGAUCAGAUACCGCCCUAGUUCUUACCGUAAACCAUGCCGGCUAGCGAUCCGUCGAUGUUCGUUCAGAUGAUUCGGCGGGCAGCUCGAGGGAAACCAAAGCCUUCGGGUUCCGGGGGAAGUAUGGUUGCAAAGCUGAAACUUAAAGGAAUUGACGGAAGGGCACCACCAGGAGUGGAGCUUGCGGCUUAAUUUGACUCAACACGGGAAACCUCACCAGGCCCGGGCACCGGAAGGAUUGACAGAUCAAGAGCUCUUUCUUGAUUCGGUGGGUGGUGGUGCAUGGCCGUUCUUAGUUGGUGGAGCGAUUUGUCUGGUUAAUUCCGAUAACGAACGAGACUCUAGCCUGUUAAAUAGGCGAAGGUUCGCGGGGGCUUCGCAUCCCGCGGACUCACCGGCAUCGAGGGCGAGGGAACGAGUUCGGCGCGCCGGAACCCCGUUUCGGUCGUCGUCUCGCUUUCGAGCUCGAACGCUGCCGGCGACUUGAUUUCUUCUUAGAGGGACAAGCGGCUUCUAGCCGCACGAGAUUGAGCAAUAACAGGUCUGUGAUGCCCUUAGAUGUUCUGGGCCGCACGCGUGCUACACUGAAGGAAUCAACGUGUUUUAAAAAUCCUAGGCCGAAAGGUCCGGGCAACCCGUUGAAUUUCCUUCGUGAUAGGGAUCGGGGCUUGCAAUUGUUUCCCGUGAACUAGGAAUUCCCAGUAAGCGCGAGUCAUAAGCUCGCGUUGAUUACGUCCCUGCCCUUUGUACACACCGCCCGUCGCUACUACCGAUCGAACGAUUUAGUGAGGUCUUUGGACUCGUGCGCGAGUCGUCGUCGUCGUCUAACCGGCGAUCCGACGACUUCUCGCAGCCGCGAGGAAGACGACCGAACUUAUCGUUUAGAGGAAGUAAAAGUCGUAACAAGGUUUCCUUGAAA
rnacentral:rRNA from 1 species